rnacentral:lncRNA from 1 species
AUGCCAGUAAUCUACAGUACGAAAUGUCCUUUGAACAGCAAUAGUCAUUGUAAUGCCCGUACUUUGUUCUAUUCAACAGUUUGCAAAGGUGAAGGAAAACCUCAGGCUUUCCUUCACUGGACAGGUACAUACACCAUGGGACAGUCACCACAGACUGGACAGGUAAAUACACCAGUCACCACAGACUGGACAGGUACAUACACCAUGGGACAGUCACCACAGACUGGACAGGUACAUACACCAGUCACCACAGACUGGACAGGUAAAUACACCAGUCACCACAGACUGGACAGGUACAUACACCAGUCACCACAGACUGGACAGGUACAUACACCAGUCACCACAGACUGGACAGGUACAUACACCACGGGGCAGUUAAAACAGACACAGAAUAAAUUUUAGUCCUAGACUAAAAAUAAUUUUCCAUGUAGAUCCAGGAUUUAGAUGAAUCUGUAUCCGGGGAUACCGUAUGUUAGAGGUAAACCUAGAACCGGUUUAAAUACAACAGUUAAACUGUACACAUCAUGUGCAAACAUAAAUCCACACACCAUGAUCAGAAAAACACUGAAAUGGAAAAUAACCACCCACAAACAAGAGUGUGAAAACAGGCUACCUAAGUAUGGUUCUCAAUCAGACAACGAUAACCAGCUGCCUCUGAUUGGGAACCAUACUAGGCCUAAACAUGGAAACACAUCACCUAGACAUACAACAUAGAAUACCCACCCACCUCAUACCCUGACCAAAUGAAAAAUAGAAACAUACAAAGCAAUCUACGGUCUGGGCGUGACAGUAUGGUUCAUUGCCAACGCAAAUAUUAUUCAAACGAGAUAACAUGCAAACUCUAGUUUCAGUGUUCCAGUAUGAACAAAAACUUCAUUGGUUGGCUAUAUAACUAGGAUGAAUAUCAAUGCAAAAUACAUUUCGUACCAUCAUAAAAAUCUUGUCACAAACAGCAAAGGUUUCUCCUGCCACUAUCUUUAUCAUUUCUAACUUCAUUUGAUUUAUUUCCUUACAGCUAAGAUCACACUGGAUGAAAAAACAGCCAAACCAAAUCUCCUACUGUCCCCUGACAGGAAAAGAGCUUUAUACUGCUGCUUGCAAUCAGAGGGAAAUGGUUCAACUGUCUGCACUUUUGCUCAGUUGAAGGAAACAAUGUUUUUUUGUUUACUUGCAGUUUCACUUUUCAGUCAAAAGAUCAGGGGUCACGGCCAGGUCUCUGAGGACAAGUGUUGCUGGGGUGCGGCUGAAGAGAGCCCCACCUCCCAUUCCCCCCAUCCCACUACCCUCCUCCACCAGAGAACAGGACAGCACCACGUCUGCUCCUCCCUGGCCUAAGAGAGGGAGAGAAGGGGAGGGGGAGCAUGAGGAGUGAGAGGCGGGGACAGGAUCGAGAGAGAGGCACAGGAAGUGU